rnacentral:lncRNA from 1 species
GCGCAAUAUAGCCUUUUUUAUUUCUACACUGAACUGAAAGAGACAAUAUACCAAUUAAGCUGGAUUUCUUUUUAGAAAGCAUUCUGGACAACAAUAGUUCAAAACAGUCGACUUGGACAACAUGAAGUAUUUAGUGUGUGUGCGUGUGUAAGGUAUGUGCAAUCUAAUCAAAAAUGCACACUGGCAUUACAUUUAAAUAACCUUAAUCAAUAUAUGGGCUACAUUAGAUAAAGACUUAUAAGAAUUACCAAGAUAAUGCACUCCAUCAGGAAAUGACCCAAUGAAUCAUUUUGGCACAGGCUAAAAAUAAAUACUCACAUUUCUGUUCAACUCACUUUUCUCCGAGAAGAUGCAUUUUAUCUUAAAGGAGAGGGUCAGCUCAUUCUUGUUUUCCCAUAAAAAUUCUGUGAUUGUUUCCAUUUCUUACUUUUUCCAUUACAUUGUAGCCCGGAAUUAUUUAUUUAUAAAAACAAGGAAAGGCAUUGCACUCAGCAACUAUGGUAAGAAAAGUCUAUGAAAGCCCCAAAGUUAUUACCAUGAGUUUCCUAUCUUUUAGUCAAUUUUAUUUUUCCAGGGCUGUGAAAUAACUUAUUUUUUCAGAUUCCAUUUAAAUUAUGUCCUGAGCAAAUAACAUGUCCUCAGCAAAACCUAACUUUAGAGAUACAGUUACUGGUAAGUUUCUUUCUUUCUUUUUUUUUUAGUUUUCUCUUACUUUACAGAAUCCAGGCCAUCACUGAAGUGAAAUAGAAACACAAUAG